rnacentral:rRNA from 1 species
AUUGAACGCUGGCGGAAUGCUUUACACAUGCAAGUCGAACGGCAGCACGGGGGCAACCCUGGUGGCGAGUGGCGAACGGGUGAGUAAUAUAUCGGAACAUGUCCGGAAGUGGGGGAUAACGUACCGAAAGGUACGCUAAUACCGCAUGACAUCCUGCCCUUGAACGGGUGGAGAUCAAAGCUGGGGAUCGCAAGACCCGGCGCUUGAAGAGGGGCCCGCGUCCGAUUAGCUAGUUGGUGAGGUAACGGCUCACCAAGGCGACGACCGGUAUCCGGCCUGAGAGGGCGGACGGACACACUGGGACUGAGACACGGCCCAGACUCCUACGGGAGGCAGCAGUGGGGAAUUGUUCACAAUGGGCGCAAGCCUGAUGACGCAAUGCCGCGUGGAGGAUGAAGGUCUUCGGAUUGUAAACUCCUGUUGCCAGGGACGAAUGGCUCCGACCUAACACGUCGGAGAAUGACGGUACCUGGUGAGGAAGCCCCGGCUAACUCUGUGCCAGCCGCCGCCGUAACAC